GAUGAACGCUGGCGGCGUGCCUAAUACAUGCAAGUCGAGCGAACAGACGAGGAGCUUGCUCCUCUGACGUUAGCGGCGGACGGGUGAGUAACACGUGGAUAACCUACCUAUAAGACUGGGAUAACUUCGGGAAACCGUAGCUAAUACCGGAUAAUAUAUUGAACCGCAUGGUUCAAUAGUGAAAGACGGUUUUGCUGUCUCUUCUAGAUGGCUACGCGCCGCAUUAGCUAGUUGUGACGGUAACGGCCUACCAAGGCUACGAUGCGUAGCCGAGGGGAGAGGGUGAUCGCCCACAUGAGAACUGAGACGCGGACCAGACUCCUACGGGAGGGAGCAGUAUGGUAUGUUAGGCAAUGGGCGAAAGCAUGACGGAACAGGGGCGAGUGAGUGAUGACGGUCUUCGGAUCGUGAAGAUCUGUUACUAGGGAAGAACAAAUGUGUAAGGAGAUAUGGACGAAUUGACGGUACCUGAACAGAAAGCGACGGCUAACUACGUG
rnacentral:rRNA from 1 species